ACUGCUCAUGUGCCUAAAUUAUUCACACUGUUGUGGAGCAGGCCCUUAAAGAUGAGAUAAUCGAUAAUUUCCAAUUUUCAUUUCUCAUCAAUAAGUUCCCUUGAAUACCAGUUUUCAUACACCUUCCCUAAGGUUCGCAAGGAUGCUCUUCACCCACCUGGCCGCCCUAUCGUGGCCAGAACAGACUCUAUCUUGCAGCCCCUGGCAAUAUUUGUAGAUCAG